GGAUGCGAUCAUACCAGCACUAAAGCACCGGAUCCCAUUGAACUCCGAAGUUAAGCGUGCUUGGCGAGAGUAGUACUAGGAUGGGUGACCUCCUGGGAAGUCCUCGUGUUGCAUUCCC
rnacentral:rRNA from 1 species